GGUUUUAUGGUCUAAUGGUUAUGACUCCGUUGUUUUGGGCUUGGAAGUCCAGGUUCGAUUCCUGGUAAAACCU
rnacentral:tRNA from 1 species